rnacentral:lncRNA from 1 species
UUUUACUCACUCCAUUUAUUGUGCACAAGACACCUUAGGAUAUACCCUCUUCUCUCACAUAAUCUCAAUUAUUUUGUAUACAAAAGGAAAGAAAGGACAUACUUUCCCUGACAUAGGAAACAGUUAACGGCUACAUCUAGCUGUAAAUUGAGAUUCUCUGAAUGGCAAACAUUCUUCUAGGGCAGGGCCAGAUGUGGCUUUUCAUGGACUUAUAACUCAUCACUAAGUGAUAUAUUAAAGCAUCCCCCCCCCCCCCCCACACACACACAAAAUAGUGUGCAGUAUGGAGGGAAAAUAGAAUAUUCACAAUGCAAAUUCCUAGCUGAAAAGGAGAGAAAUUAAGACAAUAUGCAAGAGUUACUAGUCUACAGUGUAUCCCACACAGACAGAAUUAGUGAGGAAUCCCUGUAUGCAGUGACAUGAGAGGGUGAGAUCUUGGACAGGCAUCCUAGUUGGUACCAGGUUCUGCUCCAGGAGGCUCUUUCUUAUUCUUUGUCCACUGUGGCCACAUCUGAGAAUAGUGUUAUAUGAUGUAUCUUUGGAAAACUGCACAAUCAAGAUCUUUGAUUUCUUUUUAUAGUUGUUUUAUUUUUUGCUUAGAUAUAGAAGCUUAUAUUUUCCAAAAUGCACUUCAUGAAAUUGAAUUCAUUGUUUUAACUUGUUAAGAUCUUUCUCUGCUUGGAUACUUUCCCUACACAUUUUAGCUUUCCUCCAGUUUUGUGCCCAGGCUGCAAGACUAUAGUUUUAAUAAUUAUGAGUAUAAACAAGUUUUCAAAAACUUACAGGUAUAUACUAUACAAACUUUAAAAAAGAGAGGGAUGAGGACGCCUGGGUGGCUCAGCGGUUGAGCAUCUGCCUUUGACUCAGGGCCUGAUCCCGGAGUCCCGGGAUCAAGUCCUGAAUUGGGCUCCCUGCAUGGAGCCUGCUUCUCCCUCUGCCUAUGUCUCUGUUUCUCUCUCUGUGUCUCUCAUAAAUAAAUAAAAUCUUUUAAAAAAUAAAAUAAAAAGGAGAGGGAUGAUCUCAGAAAAGGUAGGCCACUGAGAUUGCUACUAAUUCCUGGAAAAUUCUAAAACAAACUAUUAAAUAGAUGUUGUGAUAGCAUGAAGCAAAGAAAAUGCUGAUUGCUUGAAAACAGCAUAAGUAUACUAAAAAAAAGAUAAACCACAUUAAUGUAAUUUCUUUCCUUCACAGUGCUGCUAGAUCAGGAGAGAGAAAGAGUACUGUAGACAUAUGCUAUGUGAACUUCAGCGGGGAAUUUAACAAAUUCAGUCUCUGCAAAUAUGACAGACUGAAAUACACCAGAAAAGGCAUCCCAACCAAGAGUAUAUGGUGCAGCUGAAAGAGCAUGAACCAGGGUUUUUGUUAAAAUGGUGCUGUGAAGUCCAUUCCAUGCUCAAACACUGCAAAGAAGGAUAAAAGAUGGGAUGGAAGGUAAAAAGAUGUGGCCUUGUUCAAAAACAAGAUAACUUCUCUUUCCACCAAAGAAAGUACAGAAAUAUUUAAUGCUAAAUGUGGUUCAAAGGCCAGAACUCCAAAAAUAGGCAGAGUUAACAGAAAGUUUUGAGUCCUAUAAGGUGAAGGGACCCCAAAACAGUCUGUCCAUAUAUUUGAGGGGGCCAUAUUUGAUCAUUAUUUGAAAGGACUAGAUUUAUAGGUUCUCUUAAAAGAAAAAAAGGAAGUUGGACAAUUAUAAGCCUAUAACAAUAACCUACUAGAAGUAAAUAUAAGCUCUCCUUUUUAGAUGGGGUUUACUCAUCCCAUCUACAACAAUUUUAUGUAACUUACCGGACAUCUUAGAGCCUUUUGAGUUUGAUAUCUCCACCAAGUGCAAACAAACAAAUUUUAUUAGCCUGGAACUCAAAGCACAGAUCCAGAAAUAAACUGAUCAGGGCCCCAAAUCUAUGUCAUACCUAUUUGACUUGGCAGAGACUUGGGCAAGGUGCUUCUUUAGGAAAGACUGUCAGUGUCAACCACCACUUCUUUUUAUGUUGAAACCUUAAGUAUAAAUGGGGCAGACUAAUAGAGACCUGUCUCUUAGGUGCCUGUUUCAAUGUCAAUUGCUUUUUUACGUUGUGGCUUUUCUGGCUAAUUCCUGACCAUCAGAGUAUACAAUGUUUUCCAAGUUUCAGUGGCAUCUGAACCUUGACAUAUAUGAGGAAAAAAUGAAUAAAUUUUAGAAUAUCCAUUCUUCUUUCAUAAUCACACACCCCAGUGAAUUGACACGGAAGGCCUGAGUAUCCCAUCUACCCUCCAAAGUUCAGCAGUAAACAAAACUGUGUGGCAAGCUGAGAAUACUGUAACAGCAUGACAUACUUUGCAAAUUCUUAGUAUACACAUAUAGUCCACAGAAGACCCCAGGAAAUUAUUUAAAUGAAUACCAACCAAUGUUGUGUCCAUUUAAUAAAAACCUGGUUUGAUUGCUUAUAUAUAUGUUUCCCAUCAGGGUGCAAUGUUCAAUUUGCUGCAGUGGAAUGAAGCCAUCUACUGAAUGCCAGGGUGUGGGAAAGACCAAACAAUUCUGCUGUUUUACAGUAGGAACUCGCCAGGGAAAACUGACAGCCUGCAAAACACGCCCAGCCUCUGCUUCCCUAAGCCAGAAAAUAUGACCUCUGGUCUCUCUCUGUGAACCUCAGUGCUGGAAAGUUAAGGGAAAAAAGAGAUUCAUGAGCAUGAGGAAAAAUAAGUGAUCUGAAUGUGGAUAAUAUAAUACUCCUUUCUCUUUCUCCUUUCUUCCACUUUCAACUCCCUUUUCUCUCCCUCAGCAAAAUAUUUGAAAAUACAAGGCUUCCAUGCAGGCUGAUUGAGUAAACACUUUUAGGAGAAAAGUUUCCUCUCCAUUUCUUCAACACUUUUCUUAUGGUAUCUCCUUGCUUACAAUUUACUGGUCCUUGUAUGAACACCUGACCCAAACUAGCCAAUGGCUUUUCCCUGGCUUUUGGACUUGAGGUGGAAGACUAGUCUGGCAAUCCUCCUCAGAGGUAAAAACUGUAAAAUAUAAAACCUGCAAGUACCAAUUCCACUCUGUCUCAUAUUUUCAGCAAAACAAAUUUGCAGUGAUGCAGAAUAAGAUCCCUGUGAGGAAAGAAAUCCAAGUAAGAGAUGGAGAAGGGGAGAAAGAAGGCAGGAGAGUUGGAGAGAAGGAGGGAGAGUUCUGACAUUAUCUACAUCUCUGGGGUCUAGCUAUUUCCUUUUCCGGUAGCAUCCCUGACCUUCCCAUAAUUUGGUUGUUGAACAAUUUCUUUGAUUUAAUGAACAAAAUUAAUUCCCUUUAAGAAAAUUAGUUCAAGAGUUAGUGCUAUCAUUGUAGCCAAAUGGGUCAACUAAUACAGCAUAAAAAGCUUCCAGAAGGCAAAUGUCUUUUACCUUUGAUUAGAUUAUUCUAAGAUGCAAUAUUCAGACCCAUCAAGAUGGGUUGAUUUCCCAGCACCACACCUAGAUGACAGUGCUCCUCUCAACUGUGGAAAGGUCACAUCCUACAAAUGUUCCAAGUAGAACACCUCUCCUGGAGGAGAUAAUAUCAAGUUACCAUCCAGGUGCCACAAUUCAUCUUCAUUUCUCUUAAAUGGUCACAUGUCUCCCAACCUAAAAUCCAUCUUGGCCUUACUCAAAGCUGAAGAGGUAGGCUGCUGAAUUAGCUAGAAUUUCAGACCCCAGAUGCUGGCCUGAGAGAACAAAGAGGCUUAUUUAGAAUAUUGCAGUGGUUUAGAGUCAGGGGCUAUGGGAAAGGGGCACCUCCAGGAAAACAGCAUCAGAAUCUCUGGAAUAUGGGGUGCAAUGGAGAUGGGUAAUGUGUAUCCAUUUACACUUACUCAGCCUUCCCAAAGCUUACACUACUCCCUUCUCAAAAUGAAGACCUAAUUCUGUCUACAGCUUACAAUUUACUACUAUGAGUUGGUUGAUUCCUGAAGAUAGAAAUCAUAGCUAUAUAAGGUGUCUUCAAUAAGAAAAUGCAUGUCAUAGCCACUUAGGGAGUACAAGGUGCUUGCUAAGGCCAGCUAAACAGUGCUUCUCCAUUUAGGUGGCACAAUCAACUAUAAGAUAUUCUUGAAAUAAAUUAUUACUACUAAUAAAGUACUGAAAUGUAGACAGUGUUAUUUUAUAAAAUAUAGCAGACUCAUGGAAAUCCUUUGCAUCACUCUUCUGUGCUUUCUUGAGAGGAAGAAAAAUGUCAAGGUAUCACAUUUAAUUAAAACACAAGAAAUCAGCUAUAAGCUUAGGUAAGCCUAAGAUAUAACUCUAUAAGAAGUCUUAUAUAUGAAUACCAUUAGUCAUAUCUUUGAGGGGGAAAAAAGCUGAGAAACACCAAACAAAGGGUAUGUAAAAGAAGUACAGGUCAUAGAAUAAUUAUGCACAAAGAUGAACACCACAUUUAUAAUUGUGAAAAUCCAAAAUUAAUCUAAAUAUCCAACAAUAGAGAAUUACUUAAAUAUACUACAUUAUGUAGAUGCAUGUUUAUUAAUGUGAUUAAAAUCCAUGUCCUCAAACACUAGUGACAUGGGGAAAAUGCUUCUGAUAUACUUUCAGUAAAAAAGACAUUUUUUUAUAGUCUUAAUUUUGGAACCAAAGAGAGAAAAAAAAUUAGAAAUAUGUCAAAAUGUUAACAAUGUCAGGAUGGUGGGAUGGUGUGAGAUUUUGUUUUGAUCUUUUAACUUUUCUGUAUAUUGAACCCUGAGGUCAAAAUGAACAAGGAGCAUGUUACUGUUUCCCCCACUCUUCCUCCACACCAAGUUGAAUGUACUUGAGCAACUAGAAUGUUAAAGAUAAACUGGAAGUAUGGGCUAGCUGUAGAAUCCAAACUUGAAAUUAUCUAAGAUUUUAACCUUUAAUGUUUUACUCUUUUUCUCAUUUAUAGCAGAAUCACUUAAGAAGUACUUUGUUUCUUAGACCAAAAUAAAAAUUAUUUUGCCUUCUGACAUUUACCCUAUUGAUACCAAUUUCUUUCUCUGCUUCUUGGUUCUACUCUUUGUUUCUACUUUAAAAAUUCAAAUAGUCACUUGAAGCUUUUUCUAAAAAAAUAUUC